rnacentral:misc_RNA from 1 species
CACUUUUCAGAUCUCUCUCUCUCUUUCUACCUUAGACCCAAAGCGAAGACCUUUCUCUGGCUUCAACAACUUGGGGCUUUAUCAUUUCCACAAGAGCUCAGGGACAUGUCAGAUUCGACUGCAUUUAGGUGCUCUAAUUGAUUACUGGACCAUAUCUGCUUUUAAUUGUUGUUUGCUAGCUGAAAAAUGUCAUGUGAUGAAGUGCUGAAGGCUGUUUUCCCUUUGCUGGAUGGCAUAGACCUUGCUUCUUGUAUGGCAGUUUGCAAACAGUGGAGAGAUAUAGCCCGAGAUGAUUACUUUUGGAAAUGCCUAUGUGCCAAGAGAUGGCCUUCAAUUUGCAAGAGGCCUAGCCCUCCAACUGUGACCUACUUCAAGCUCU